AUUGAACGCUGGCGGCAUGCCUUACACAUGCAAGUCGAACGGCAGCACGGGUGCUUGCACCUGGUGGCGAGUGGCGCACGGGUGAGUAAUACAUCGGAACAUGUCCUGUAGUGGGGGAUAGCCCGGCGAAAGCCGGAUUGAUACCGCAUACGAUCUACGGAUGCAAGCGGGGGCCCUUCGGGCCUCGCGCUUUGGGGUUGGCCAAUGGCGGAUUAGCUAGUUGGUGGGGUAAAGGCCUACCAAGGCGACGAUCAGUAGCUGGUCUGAGAGGACGACCAGCCACACUGGGACUGAGACACGGCCCAGACUCCUACGGGAGGCAGCAGUGGGGAAUCUUGGACAAUGGGCGAAAGCCUGAUCCAGCAACGCCGCGUGUGUGAAGAAGGCCUUCGGGUUGUAAAGCACUGUUGUCCGGAAAGAAAUCCUUGGCACUAAUACGGUCGGGGGAUGACGGUACCGGAAGAAUAAGCACCGGCUAACUACGUG
rnacentral:rRNA from 1 species